rnacentral:lncRNA from 1 species
AGGAGGAAAUCCUAUGUGUCUGCUCCCAGAGCUGCCACAACCCAUCUUCCCACAACUCGGAACUUGGAAAAAGGAACCCAGGACACGACUUUGCUUUUCUUUUGGACCUAGUUGGUGAUUAUACCCGGUCUCCCAUGGAGACCAUGUCUUGCAUCCUUCCUUCUGUAUGGGAUUUAGGAUAGAAAUUAAAAAGAAAACAUCUUAUUUUGAGUCUUGAUUUGGAGAAAGGUAGUAUUUAGGGAGAAGUAGGCUAUGAUACACAUAGAAAAUUUGAGGACAGUGUUACUUAACAAGGACAUUUCUGUCUCUGCAGAAGUCACAGCUUGGAGGAAACCAGUUUGCACUAUUUGAUGAGGAAUUUGGCCACCAAACCACUGAUACUUUCCCAAAGAUACAAGUUAACAGGAUAUGCUUCUGGCGUGUUUCUGGAUUCUAAGGGUAGAACCAGCAUGAAACUAGUCAGUCCAAGUAUUUCUAAAGAUCCACAGACACAGUUCUCCUAGAUUUGGGAAGCCUAGAGAUAUUAGCACAAUAAUUAUGGCCCAACAACUUUUAAAAGCAUUUCCAUUGCACAGUGAAAGAAAACCACAAACUCCUUGUUUAAUAACUCGGAUCAUGUGCUUUUAACGAGAGGAAAAGGUCAAGUCUGAAGCAACUGAUAU